ensembl:lncRNA
CACACACCAAAUUCUUAAUACCUAUGCAAAUUCACAUAUAUAUAUAGAUUUUCAAAUUAAACUUUCUAAGAUCUCAGUACUAAUAUGUAGUACAUGUAAUUAAAAGACAUCCCAUAUAAAACCCCAAAUUUCAAUCUUAAAAAAGAUUGAAAAAAAAUUCUCCACAACAUACACCAUAACCUUUGUCUGACUGGAUUUUGCACAUUAAUAUUAAACCAUAUGGUUUUUUGCCUUUGAAAAGGAAAGAUUCCCUCUUGGUGUGAAGCUGGCUAUUAAUUAUAUUCAAAUACUUCUGAAGUUUCUUAGUGACAAUAAACAAUUCUCUAGUAUAGGUAUUGUGCAGAAUCGAAUUUUGCUAACAUUUUACCUUUGAUUGAUAUACAAUUAUCACCAUAAAAUCACACUAUAUCAUGGUACAUUUUCAGACUAACUAGCAAUUUUCCAAAGUUACAUAUAUGUCUUUAUUAUUAAAUCUUAGAGAAUAGCCAAUUUAUGAGAUAAAAUUUCCCUUUGUGUGUUCCAAAUCAAUCCCUUUUUCUUUUCUUGGGGGGCCCUUCCCAAAAGAAGAAAAAGUAAGAUUUAUGGAACACUUUGUCAAUUUUAAAGGUCAAAAUUAAUUACCUCCUUUUGGGAGGACUGAUCAUAAAUUGUGAAUGCCCAAUUAGGAAGACACAGACAGGACUUAUUAACAUGGACACACAUAGAGAUGCACAAAACAGAUAUUAAACACAGACUAAGGGAAGCAUGAUUUUAGAAUUAAGGUGUUUACUCAAGAUCUUGAGGAAGAAAAGGGGGAGAAGGAAUGAAUAAUCUAACUUGCUCUUUCCAAGAUACUGUCUCUUAGAUGUGAGAAGAGAAGAAAAGUUUUGGCUCACAAACCUUGAGUGUAAGCAUUUGAAAACUUGGGUGACAAGGAAUUGAAAGAGGGGAACCUCCCUGCUAGAACCAAGGAUCCCAGAGUCAUGAAGGUGAAAAAGGAGGACCUCCUACCUCUGUCCAUCCUCUCCUUCCUUUCCCAAGUGGAAGAAAAUUCCUCAGAGAAGGAUCUGUCAGCUUUUUGGAGGAUGGAGUUGAGAGAGGAGUGACUUGAAGCAUGGAAUCCAAUUAAGAGAUUAUCACAAGAAUCUAGCUGGAGUUCUCCAUUGAAGACUGCCUCUUUUUUUAUAUGUGAAAAAGUGGACAUUGGUGUCUUGUUUGCCUGAGAGCCCAGAGGUUUAAGUUUCAGUUCAUCUAGAAAAGCAAGUAAUCCACUCAGCCAGUAAAGCCUCCCGGCCAGCGAGAAGCUUUAUGGUAGGAAAAUAGAAGAGGGAUAGAAGUUUUUGAAUCCCACGAAGGGCGUGAAAGAGCCAACCUUUGAGAUAUGAGUAAUGAGUCAAUAAUCAAUUAUUAUUAAUAUUUGGGAGCCACAGCCAUGCUCCGACCACUGGACAUUACUUUUAAGGCUAUUCCCAUCCAGUGAUCCCAAUUCAACACUGCAGUGGUCAGAGGAUAAUACUAGAUCAGUAGGGAGAGAGAUAACUGAAAGAGUUAGACAAUGCUAGGUAUUAGCAUUGGAAAAGAGAGAGACAGAGAGAGAGGCAAAGAGAGAGACCUGACUGAAAGGCCAGGCCUCAGGAAAGAAAAAGAGGAAAGAGAAAGGGGAGAAGUUGG